rnacentral:piRNA from 1 species
UAAGGACCGUAAUGACAACUCAAUGACC